rnacentral:rRNA from 1 species
AAAUUGAAGAGUUUGAUCAUGGCUCAGAUUGAACGCUGGCGGCAGGCCUAACACAUGCAAGUCGAACGGUAACAGGAAGCAGCUUGCUGCUUUGCUGACGAGUGGCGGACGGGUGAGUAAUGUCUGGGAAACUGCCUGAUGGAGGGGGAUAACUACUGGAAACGGUGGCUAAUACCGCAUAACGUCGCAAGACCAAAGAGGGGGACCUUCGGGCCUCUUGCCAUCAGAUGUGCCCAGAUGGGAUUAGCUAGUUGGUGAGGUAACGGCUCACCAAGGCGACGAUCCCUAGCUGGUCUGAGAGGAUGACCAGCCACACUGGAACUGAGACACGGUCCAGACUCCUACGGGAGGCAGCAGUGGGGAAUAUUGCACAAUGGGCGCAAGCCUGAUGCAGCCAUGCCGCGUGUAUGAAGAAGGCCUUAGGGUUGUAAAGUACUUUCAGCGGGGAGGAAGGU